rnacentral:rRNA from 1 species
AUACGGAGGAUCCGAGCGUUAUCCGGAUUUAUUGGGUUUAAAGGGUGCGCAGGCGGGAGAUUAAGUCGGCGGUGAAAUUUUGCAGCUCAACUGUAAAAGUGCCUUCGAUACUGGUUUCCUUGAGUGUGGAUGAAGUAGGCGGAAUUUGUGGUGUAGCGGUGAAAUGCUUAGAUAUCACGAGGAGCUCCGAUUGCGCAGGCAGCUUACUAAACCACUACUGACGCUCAGGCACGAAGGCGUGGGGAUCAAACAGGAUUAGAUACCCUGGUAGUCCACGCAGUAAACGAUGAUUACUGGCUGUUUGCGAUACAAUGUAAGCGGCUGAGCGAAAGCGUUAAGUAAUCCACCUGGGGAGUACGUUCGCAAGAAUGAAACUCAAAGGAAUUGACGGGG